ACUCCCUCUGUUUUGAUAUGUUAGUCGUUUAAGAUGUUAGCACAGAUAUUAAGAAAACUUAUCCUGGGAUGAAAAUGUAUUUAUUAUGGAAGUCAUUUCCACUACUGCCCUUACGUAACUUCAUGCAUGUAUAUUUACUGCUGUUGUAUGGGGAACCUACUGAAUCAAUUUUCAAUGAUUUUUAUUGCCUUGUUUAAUAAAUUGAAUGAUUUCUAUUGACC
rnacentral:lncRNA from 1 species